rnacentral:rRNA from 1 species
AUUGAACGCUGGCGGCAGGCCUAACACAUGCAAGUCGAACGAGAGGCGGACGGGUGAGUAAUGUCUGGGAAACUGACUGAUGGAGGGGGAUAACUACUGGAAACGGUAGCUAAUACCGCAUACCAUCGGAUGUGCCCAGAUGGGAUUAGCUAGUAGGUGGGGUAACGGCUCACCUAGGCGACGAUCCCUAGCUGGUCUGCAAGGAAGACCAGCCACACUGUAACUGAGACACGGUCCAGACUCCUACGGGAGGCAGCAGUGGGGAAUAUGGCACAAUGGGCGCAAGCCUGAUGCAGCCAUGCCGCGGGUAUGAAGAAGGCCUUCGGGUUGUAAAGUACUUUCAGCGGGGAGGCGUUACCCGCAGAAGAAGCACCGGCUAACUCCGUGCCAGCCGCCGCGGUAAUUC